rnacentral:lncRNA from 10 species
GUUUUUUUAUACAUUUGUGAAUUUAUUUCACUAUUCUUCAUCUAUAUAUGUGUCUGUUCUGUGGAUUUUCCUUUGAACUAGCAUUCGCUUAUCAGUUCUCUCAAUUAAUGAGCUAAAUACAAUCUUUGACAUGUUUUUAUUUUAUAUUUGUAUGAGAGUCAUGAUUUUAUCUUUUUGGAAAUUUACUCUUUAACAAAUUUGUAAAUAUACCUUAUGCUUGAAUGUGACCUAUUUUAUCAAAGUGUAUCUUUGGUGAAGUCAUUUUAAAGCUAGGUACUUGAUGUUUUUGAGUUGGUUUGCUCAUCUGUGAUGACUGAGUGAACUAAUACCUGGCAAGUAUAAAGGCAUGUUGGUAAAGGAGACGUAGAAGAAAUAGAUUAGAAGGCCAGGAUGAGUAAAAAUGUGGGAGGAUACUAGAUGUUAAACUCAAAAAAACUGGGAGGAGAUGUUGCCUUUGAAGAGAUCUGAGAUCUGAGAUCUGAUACCACAAAUGCCUUAAUGUGGCUGGCAUUCAUGAGAAGGUAUGCAACUAUUGAGGAAAUACGAAGAACUCAGAAUGUCAAGAGAGAAGAGGCACAACUGUUGGUAUGCCCAUUAUGUCCAGUGGAAACUUUCACUCUCAGAUGUGGAGGCCAUCUUCAUGACCACACGGUUCUGAGUUGA